rnacentral:rRNA from 1 species
GACGUAGGGGGCAAGCGUUGUUCGGAAUUAUUGGGCGUAAAGCGCUCGUAGGCGGGACAGGAAGUUCGUGUUGAAAGACCUCGGCUCAACUGAGGGACCGGCUCGAAUACUCUUGUUCUUGAGGCAAUCAGAGGGUGAUGGAAUUCCCGGUGUAGCGGUGAAAUGCGUAGAGAUCGGGAGGAACACCAGUGGCGAAGGCGGCUACCUGGACCAGCACUGACACUGAGGCACGAAAGCGUGGGGAGCAAACAGGG